AUUGAACGCUGGCGACAGGCCUAACACAUGCAAGUCGAACGGUAGCACAGAGAGCUUGCUCUCGGGUGACGAGUGGCGGACGGGUGAGUAACGUCUGGGAAACUGCCCGAUGGAGGGGGAUAACUACUGGAAACGGUAGCUAAUACCGCAUAACGUCGCAAGACCAAAGUGGGGGACCUUCGGGCCUCACACCAUCGGAGGUGCCCAGAUGGGAUUAGCUAGUAGGUGGGUUAAUGGCUCACCUAGGCGACGAUCCCUAGCUGGUCUGAGAGGAUGACCAGCCACACUGGACCUGAGACACGGUCCAGGCUCCUACGGGAGGCAGCAGUGGGGAAUAUUGCACAAUGGGCGCAAGCCUGAUGCAGCCAUGCCGCGUGUAUGAAGAAGGCCUUCGGGUUGUAAAGUACUUUCAGCGGGGAGGAAGGCGGUGAAGUUAAUAACUUCACCGAUUGACGUUACCCGCAGAAGAAGCACCGGCUAACUCCGUGCCAGCCGCCGCGGUAA
rnacentral:rRNA from 1 species